CCGAACACCGCAGGCCCUGAGCCGAGGGGGCCAUGAGGGCCAGGGCUCCCAGCCUCUGUCCUAGAACAGAGAGCACAGGGAGAAGUGGAACAGAGAACAGCGUGAGAGCCAUGAAGAAGCUUGGUGGAUGAGGCACCCAUGCUGGGUGAGCCCCCUGAUGCCCAUGACCAUGAAAAAGGAAGAAAGAGGCACUCAUCUUGCUUUCUCUCUGAGCCCUUCACAGCCUUGAAGACUGUCAUUAAAUUGCCUUAUUGCCUG